rnacentral:misc_RNA from 1 species
UCUCCGUUGGUGAACCAGCGGAGGGAUCAUUACUGAGUGAGGGUUUAACCGCCCGACCUCCAACCCUUUGUGAAUCGUACUCGUUGCUUCGGGGGCGACCCUGCCUUCGUGCGAGGCGCCCCCGGAGGCUCAUCAAACACUGCAUCUCUGCGUCGGAGUAUUAGUAAAUCUAAUCAAAACUUUCAACAACGGAUCUCUUGGUUCUGGCAUCGAUGAAGAACGCAGC